AGAUGAAGGUGAUUUGAUUUAUUCAGGUAUGGUGUUUGGUGGAGGUUGCUGAACCUUUUUAUACACUCACACAUUAAAAAGUACCUCACCCAUUUAAACAUACUGUUUAUUUAAUGUAUUUAAUAUUUAAAAAUGUCACUUAAACAGAAAGUAUGGAAAAAUUAAAAAUUGUAUAACCUCCUCCACGCUAUAUAUACAGGGUUCCCGCGGGGUCUUAAAAAGUCUUAAAAGCAUUGCAUUUGUUUAUUUGGAAAUAAUACCUUAAAAAGACUUUAAAAAGUCUUGAAUUUUAAUGUCUGGGUCUUAAAAAUUUAAAUAAAAAUUUUAUUAGUAAACCACGUUUAUUUUGAUUAAAUAACGUUGUAUAAAUAAAGAGUGGCGGAUCCAGUAAUUGUGAACGCAACAAAGUUCCGGGUCACAGUACAAAAUAGGCCUACUGCGAACACGUGACGCCUCAGUAAUCACGUGCUACAGCAUCACAACACAACACAGAACAUGACCACAGACCUGAAGCAACAGAGAAGCGCGAAAUAUAAAAAAACUCAGCAUCCCACAGGAAAGGUUGACUGACGGCGUUAUGUUUUUAACGUUUGUUUUACGUUAGCUAGCUACCAAUGUAUUUCGGAGGUUAAGGGGAAAUGUAAAUUUAAUGAAGCGUGGCUGGAUAAAAACUCUUUUCGUCAUUGGUUAAAACCAGUGGACAACAACGUUUUCGAGGCUUUUUGCACCAUAUGCAAAAAGAGGAUUCAGCUAGGUACAAUGGGAAUAAAGGCAUUAGAGUCUCAUGCAAAGUCGUCCAAGCACGUGAACGCUCUCAGUGGACAGAAACAAACUCCUUCCAUCGCCUGCGUGUUUCAACCAACUAAUGUUAGACAGGUAGCUGCUAAUGUGCCUGAAGCGGCAGCAGGAGCUAAUGUUAGCCAGCUUGCUGCUAGCGUUGCAGACCCUCCAGCUACGACUGCAACUAGAGUUUAACUGCGCACAGUUUUUGGGUCCACUCCAACAAUGAAAGCCGAGGUGUUGUGGACUCUCAACACAAUCGCUAAACACCAGUCCUACAAUGGAAAUGAGGGUAUCUCAGAGCUUUUCAAGUGUAUGUUCCCUGACUCCGACAUCGCUAAAACGUUUACUUGCGGUCCCGACAAAACAGCUUACAUGGCCAAGUUUGGUUUAGCUGUUCACAUCAAAGAAGAACUGGUGUCCAAAGUCAACAAAUCGCCGUUCGUUCUAAUGUUUGAUGAGAGUCUCAACGAGACUACGAAAAACAAACAGCUGGAUGUGCACGACCGCUUUUGAAACGAGGGACAGGUUCAGUCCAGAUAUCUGGGGUCUCAGUUUAUGGGACAUUCCACAGCACAAGACCUGCUUUCCCAUCUCAAAGAAUGUAUGGACAGACUGAACCUCAGGGACUUGGUAUCCAUCUCAAUGGAUGGGCCAAAUGUGAAUUGGAAACCCUUCGACCUUUUUCAGAAAGAUCACGCUGAGCAGUAUGGAGGUGCUCAGCUCAUUUGUGUGGGAAGCUGUGGCCUACACACACUACACAACGCAUUUAAGUGUGGGUUCACUGCAUGGCAGCUGGACAAGUUGCUGAAAGCAAUGCACACAUUGUUCCUCAGGGCCCUAUUUUAACGAUCUAAGCGCAUUGUCUAAAGCGCACAGCGCAAGGUCUAAAUGGGCGUGUCCGAAUCCACUUUUGCUAAUUUAAAGGUGCAGUGUGUAAUUUUUAGAAGGAUCUCUUGACAGAAAUGCAAAAUAAUAUACAAAACUACAUUAUCAUGGGUGUAUAAAGACCUUUUAAUAAUAAAUCGUUAUGUUUUUAUUACCUUAGAAUGAGAAGUUUUUAUCUACAUGCACGAGGGUCACCUUACGUGGAAGUCGCCAUUUUGUGCCACCACGUUUCUACAGAAGCCCUGAACGAACAAACUUUUUUGUCUCUGACAAUGACAUGUUUUUUCCGGUGGCGGCUACUGUAGCUUCUCUAUGCGUUUCAAAAGCGAGGGGUGAGCAGUGGGCUGAGCCAUUGGUUGCAAUUCGUAACCUCACCAUUAGAUGCCGCUAAAAUUUACACACUGCACCUUUAACGACGGGAAAAAUAGUUUUUGCACCGAGCGCAUGGUCGAAAAGGGUAGGUCCUAUUGUAAUGGGAGUAUUUUGGGCGUAACGUGCAGUAAACCAAUGAGAGUCACAGCUCUCAUUCCCUUUAAAAGCAAGCUGCGCUGGCACUAUGUCUAAUCCCUAUUUAGAUGACGGACUGAAAAACUAAGCGGAGGUAGAAGAUCCCCAGUUUAAGAUUAAUGUUAAAUAAUUGUGUUGUUUUUCCCUUAUAUUGAAAUUGUUAUUUUUUUAUUAAAACCUUUAAACCCCGUUUUCUUUUAGUCAUGGAAGUAAAAAGCAGGC